UCUAGCCCUAAAACCCUAGCCCUAGACCUAGCCCUAACACCAAGCCCUAGCCCUAGCCCUAACCCUAACCCUAACCUCUAACCUCUAAAACUAACCCUAGCCCUAACCCUAAAUCCUAACCCUAAACCCAAACCCUAAACCUAACCCUGACUCUAACCCCUAACCCUGACCCAGACCCUGACCCUAAACCGUGACAAUGACCCUAAACCCUGACCAUGACCCUAACCCUGACCGUGACCCUAACCCUGACCCUAAACUCUGACCCUGACACUAAACACUGACUCUGACCCUGACCCUAAACUCUAUCACUAAACACUAAACCCUAACCCCUAGCCCUAACACAUAGCCCUAACCUUACCCCAACCCUAAUCCUAAACCCUAAACCCUAACCAUAAAAACAAACCCUAAACCUAACCCUGACCCUAACCCCUGACCCUGACCCUGACCCUGACCCUAAACCCUGACCAUAAACCCUGACCCUGACACUAAAAACUGACCCUGACCCUAAACUCGAACACUAAACCCUAAAACCUAACCUUAACCCCUAAACCCGAUCCCGAACCAUAACCCUAACACUAAACUAAACCCUAAACCCUAACCUGUGUAGGGAGUGAGGAGGUGGGAGGGACUAGGCUGGGCACUGUGAAGGGAGUCAGGAGGUGGGAGAGACCAUGCAGGGCCCUGUAUAGAGAGUGAGAGACCAGGCAGGGCACUGUAUAGGGAGUAAGAUGGUGGGACAAAAGAGACAGAAACCUGUGUAGGGAGUGAAGAGCUGAGAGACCAGACAGAGACCUUUGUAGGGAGUGAGGAGGUGGGUGAGACCAGGCAGGGCCCUGAGUAGGGAGAGAGGAGAUGGAAGAGACCAGGCAGGGACAGGUGUAGGAAGUGAGGAGGUGGGAGGGACCAGGAAGGGCCCUGUGUAAGGAGUGAGGAUGUGGAAGAGAACAGGCAGAGAACUCUGUAGGGAGUAAGGAGGUGGGACAGACCAGGCAGAGACCUUUACAGGGACGGAGGAGGUGGGAGAGAAAAGGCGGGGCCCUGAGUAGGGAGUGAGGGGCUGGGAGCAACCAGGCACGGCCAUGUCUAGGGAGUGAGGAGGUGGGAGAGGUCAGGCAGGGACCUGAGUAGGGAGUUAGGCCUUAGGAGAGACCAGGCAGAGACCUGCAUAGGGAGUGAGGAGGUGAGAGAGACCAGGUAGGAUGCUGUGUAAAGAGUGAGGAUGUAGGAGAGACCAGGCAGGGCCCUGUGUAAGGAGUGAUGAGGUGGGAGAGACGAAGCAGGGACCUGUGUAGGGAGUGAGGAGGUGGGAGAGAAUAGGCAGAAACCUGUGUAGGGAUUGAGAAGAUGGUAGAGAGCAGGCAGGGCCCUGUGUAGGGAGUGAAGAGGUGGGAGAACCAUUCAGAGACCUGCAUAGGGAGUGAGGAGAUGGGAGAGACCAGGAAGGGCCCUCUGUAGGGAGUGAGUUGGCCAGAGAUCAGGCAUGUCCCUGUAUGGAGUAAGGAUAUGGGAGAGACCAGGCAGGGCCCUGUGCAGGGAGUUAGGAGGUGGGAGAGAACAGGCAGAGAAGAGUGUAGGGAGUGAGGAGGUGGGACAGACCAGGCAGGGCUCUGUGCAUAGAGAAGAUGGGAGACACCAGACAGGGCCCUGUGUAGGGAGUGAAGAAGAGGGAGACCCAGGCAGAGUCCUGCUUAGGGAGUGAGGAGAUGGGAGAGACCAGGCAGAGCCAAGUAUAGGGAGUGAGGAUAUGGGAGAGACCAGGCAGGCCCUGUGUAAGGAGUGAUGAGGUGGGAGAGACCAAGCAGGACCCUGUGCAGGGUGUGAGGGGGAGGGAGCAUCCAGGCAGGGCCCUGUGUAGGGAGUGAGGUGUUGGGAGAGACCACACAGGUCCUGUGUAGGGAGUGAGAAUGUGCCAGAGAUCAGGCAGGGCCCUGUGUAGAGAGUGAGGAGGUGGCAGAGAAGAGACAGAGACAUAUGUAGGGAGUAAGCAGAAGGGAGACACCAGGCAGGGCCCUCUGUAGGGAGUGAGGAGGAGGGACAUAGCAGGCAGGGCCCUGUGUAAGGAGUGAGGAGGUGGGAGAAUCCAGGCAGACACCUGUGUAGGGAGUGAGGAGCUGGAAGAGACCAGGCAGGGACCUGUGUAGGUCCUGAGGAGGUGGGAGAGGCCAGGCAGCGUCCUGUGUAGGGAGUGAGAAGGUGGGAGAGACCAGGCAGAGCCCUAUGUUGGGAGUGAGGAUGCAGGAGAGAAGAGGCAGAGAUGUGGGAGAGACCAGGCAAAGACCUGUGAAGGGACUGAGGAGGUGGGAGAGACCUGGCAGGGCCCAGUGUAGGGAGUGAGUAUCUUGGAGAGAAGAGGCAGAGACCUGUGUAGGGAUUGAGAAGAAGGAGAGACCAGGCCGGGCCCUGUGUAGGGAGUGAGGAGGUGGGAGAGGCCAGGCAGAGCCCUGUGUAGGGAGUGAGGUGUUAGGAGAGACCAGGCAGGGCCCUGUGUAGGGAGUGAUGAGGUGAGAGAGAGCAGGUAGGACCCUGUGUACAGAGUGAGGAUGUGGAAGAGAACAGGCAAGGCUGUGUGUAGGAAGUAAGGUGGUGGAGAUACCAGUCAGGGACCUGUGUAGGGAUUGAGGAAGUGGGAGAGACCAGGCAGGACCCUGUGUAGGGAGUGAGGAGGUGGGAGAGACCAUCAGGGCCCUGUGUAGGGAGUGAGGAGGUGAUAGAGAACAGGUAAGGCCCUGCAUACACAGUGAGGAGUUGGGAGAGACCACCCAGAUACCUGAGUAGGGAGUCAGGAUGUGGGAGAGAUCAGGCAGAGCCCUGUGUAGGAAGUGAGGUGUUAGGAGAGACCAGGCAGGGCCCUGUGUAGGGAGUGAGGAGGUGGGAGAGACCAGGUAGGACCCUGUGUACAGAGUGAGGAUGUGGAAGAGAACAGGCAAGGCUGUGUGUAGGAAGUAAGGUGGUGGAGAUACCAGUCAGGGACCUGUGUAGGGAUUGAGGAAGUGGGAGAGACCAGGCAGGACCCUGUGUAGGGAGUGAGGAGGUGGGAGAGACCAUCAGGGCCCCGUGUAGGGAGUGAGGAGGUGAUAGAGAACAGGUAAGGCCCUGCAUACACAGUGAGGAGUUGGGAGAGACCACCCAGAUACCUGAGUAGGGAGUCAGGAUGUGGGAGAGAUCAGGCAGAGCCCUGUGUAGGAAGUGAGGUGUUAGGAGAGACCAGGCAGGGCCCUGUGUAGGGAGUGAGGAGGUGGGAGAGACCAGGCAGGUCUGUGUGUAGGGAGUAAGGAGGUGGAGAUGCCAGGCAGGGCCCUGUGUAGGGAGUGAGGAUGUAGGAGAGAUCAUCAGGGCCCUGUGCAGGAAGUGAGCAGAUGGGAUACACCAGGCAGGGCCCUGUAUAGGGAGUGAGGAGAUGGGAGAGAACAAGCACAGCCCUGUGUAGGGAGUGAGAAGAAGGGAGAUAACAGCCAGAAACAGUGCAGGGACUGAGGAGGUGGGAGAGGUAAGGCAGGACCCUGUGUAGGGAGUGAGGGGGUGAUAGAGACCAGGCAGAGCCCUGUGUAGGGAGUGAGGAGGUGGGAGAGGCCAGGCAUGGCCCUGUGUAGGGAGUGAGGAGGUGGGAGAGACCAGGCAGGGCCCUGUGGAGGGAGUAAGGAGGUGGAGAGACCAGGCAGUGGCUUGUUUAGGGAGUGAGCAGGUGCGAGAGAACAUCAGGGCCCUGUGUAGGGAGUGAGGAGGAGGGAGAAAACAGGCUAACACCUGUGUAUGUAGUAAGGAGGUGGGAAAGACCACCCAGAGACCUGUGUAGGGAUUGAGGAAUGGGAGGGAACAGGCAGAGAACUGUGUAGGGAGUGAGGAGGUAGGAGAGACCAGGCAAGGCCCUGUGUAGGGAGCGAAGAGGUGGAGAACCAGGCAGAGUCCUGCGUAGGGAGUGAGAAGGCGAGAGAGGACAGGCAGAGCCCUGCGUAGGGAGUGAGGAGGUGGGAUUGACUAGGCAGGACCCUGGGUAGGGUGUGAGGAGGUGGGAGAUUCCAGGCAGGGCCCUUUGUAGGGAGUGAGGUGUUGGGAGAGACCAGGCAGAGUCCUGUGUAGGGAGUGAGGAUUUGGGAGAGACCAGGCAGGGCCCUGUGUAUGGCCUGAGGAGGUUAGAAAUACCAGGCAGGGCCCUGAGUAGGGAGUGAGGAAGUGGGAGAGAAGAGGCAGGGCCCUGUCUAGGGAUUGAAGAGGUGGGAGAGAACAGGCAGAGACCCUUGUAGGGAAUGGGGAGGUGGGAGAACCAUGCAGAGACCUGUGUAGGGAUGGAGAAGGUGCGAGGGACCAGUUAGGGCCCUGUGUGUGCAGUCAGGAUGUGAGAGAGAGGAGGCAGGGCCCUGUGUGAAUUGAGGAUGUGGGAGAGGCCAGGCAGGGCCCUGUUUAGGGAGUGAGGAGGUGGGAGAGAUCAUCAGGGCCCUGUAAAGGGAGUGAGGAGGUGAGAGAGGCCAGUCAGGGACCUGUGUAGGGAGUUAGGCGUUAGGAGAGACCAGUCAGGGCCCUGUGUAGGGAGUGAGGAGGUGGAGAGACCAGGUAGGAUGCUGUAUAAAGAGUGAGGAUGUAGGAGAGACUAGCCAGAGCCCUGUGUAGGGAGUAAGGAGGUGGAGAGACCAGGCAGGGUCCUGUUUAGGGAGUGAGGAGGUGGGAGAGAUCAUCAGGGCCCUGUAAAGGGAGUGAGGAGGUGAGAGAGGCCAGUCAGGGACCUGUGUAGGGAGUGAGGAGGUGGGAGAGACCAGGCAGAGACCUGCAUAGGGAGUGAGGAGGUGAGAGAGACCAGGUAGGAUGCUGUAUAAAGAGUGAGGAUGUAGGAGAGACUAGCCAGAGCCCUGUGCAGGGAGUAAGGAGGUGGAGAGACCAGGCAGGGUCCUGUUUAGGGAGUGAGGAGGUGGGAGAGAUCAUCAGGGCCCUGUAAAGGGAGUGAGGAGGUGGGAGAGACCACCCAGAUACCUGUGUAGGGACUGAGGAGGUGGGAGAGAAAAGACAGAGCCCUGUGUAGGGAGUGAGGAGGUGGGAGAUACCAGGCAGGGCCCUGUGUAGGGAGUGAGGAGGUGGCAGGGAGCAGUCAGAGACCUGUGUAGGGAGUGAGGAGGUGGCAGAGACCAGGCAGGGCCCUGUCUAGGGAGUGAGGAGUUGGAAGAGACCAGGCAGAGACCUGUGUACUGAGUCAGGAGGUGGGAAAGAACAGGCAGGACUGUGUUUAGCAAGUGAGGGGGUGAGAGAGAAUAGGCAGAAACUUGUGUAGGGAGUGAGAAGAUGGAAGACAGCAGGCAGGGCCCUGUGUAGGGAGUGAAGAGGUGGGAGAAACAUUCAGAGACCUGAAUAGGGAGUGAGGAGUUGGGAGAGACCAGGCAGGGCUCUGUGCAGGGAGUGAGGAGGCCAGAGAUCAGGCAAGUCCCUUUGUAUGGAGUAAGGAUGUGGGAGAGACCAGGCAGGGCCCUGUGCAGGGAGUGAGGAGGUAGGAGAGAUCAGGCAGGGACUGGUGUAGGGAGUGAGGAGGUGGGAGAGACCAGGCAGGGCUCCGUGUAGGAAGUGAGGAAGUGGGAAAGAACAGGCAGAAAGCUGUGUAUGGAGUGAGAAGAUGGGAGACACUAGCCAGGGCCCUGUGUAGGGAGUGAAGAGGUGGGAGAACAAGGCAGAGUCCUGCAUAGAGAGUGAGGAGGUGGGAGAGGACAGGCAGAGCCCUGCUUAGGGAGUGAGGAUGUGGGAGAGACAAAGCAGGGCUCUUUGUAAGGAGUGAUGAGGUGGGAGAGACUAGGCAGGACCCUGCUAGGGGUUAUUGAUAUUGUAAGGGUUAGGUUUAGGGUUAGGGUAGGGGUAAGGUUAGGGUUAAGGCUAGCUUUACUGUAAAGGGUGGGGCCAGGUUAGGGUUAGGGUUAGGUUUAGAGUUCGAGUUAGAUCUAGGGUUUAGGGUUAGGGUUAGGGUCCGGUUUAGAGUUAUUGUUAGGUUUAGGGUAGAGUUAAGGUUAGCGUUAAGUUUAGGGUUAGGGUAAGGAUUAAGUUUAGGUCAGGGUUAGGGUUAGGACGAGUGAUAGGGUUAGGGAAAGGGUUAGGGGUUUGUGUGAGGCUUAGUGUUACAUUUACAGUUAAGCUGAUGUUUUAGGGUGUUACUACCAGGGUUUACCAGGGUUAGGGUUAGAGUUAGGGUUAGGGCGAGAGUUAGAGGAUAGUUUAGGGUUAGGUGUAAUUUUAGGGUUAGGGUUAGGCUUAGGUUUAGGGUGAAGUUUAGGUUAAGGAUGAGGGUUAGGAUUAGGCUUUGGUGUUUAGGUUAAGGUUAGGGUUAGGCUUAGUGUUAGGUUUAGCGUUAAGUGUUUGGGUUAAUGUUAGGGUCAGGUUUAAGGUUAGGUUUAGGGUUAGGGUUAGUGUUUGGUUUAGGGUUAGGGUUAGGGUGAAGUUUAAGUUAAGGGUGAGUGUUGAGCUUAGGGUUAGUGUUGGGGUUAGGGUUAGGGUUAAGGUUAGAAUUAAGUUUAGGGUUAAGGUCAGGUUUAGAGUUAGGGUAAGUGUUAGGGUUAAGUCAUAGUUAGGUUUAGGACUAGUUUUUAGUUAGAGAUAGGGUUGGGUUCAGGGUUGGGCUUAGGUUUAGAUGUUAGGGUGAGGGAUAGUGCUAGGUUUCCAUUCAAACUGCGUGUGUAGGGUAAGUUUUAGGGUUAAAGUUAGAGUUAGAGUCAGGGUUAGGUUUAAGUUUAGUGUUGGGAUUAUGUUUAUGGUUAGGGUCAGGGUUGGGGAGAUUUAGUGUUUAGGGUUACAGUGAAUUUAUGUUCUGCGAGAGGGUUAGGGUUAGGGGUUUGGGUUCAGGUUAGAGUCAGGGUUAGGGUUAGGUUUAGGGUUAGGGUUAGGUUUAGUGUUAGUGUUAGUUUUGCUUAGGGUUAGGGUUUGAAUGAAGUUAGGGUAGGCUUAGUGUUAUGCUUAGGGUGAAAUUUUGGUUAAGGGUUCGGGUUCGGCUUAGGCUUAGGGUUAGAGUUAGGGUCAGUGGUUAGGGUUAGGUUUAGGGUUAAGGUUAGGUUUAGGCUAAGGAUUAGCGUUAGAGUUACGGUUAAGGGUUAGCAUUUCAGUUAGGUUUAGGUUAGGGUUAUAAUUAGGGUUAAGUUUAGGGUUAGGGUAAGAGUUAGAGUUACAUUUACAGUUAAGAUGAGGAUUUUGGGAAAGUGUUACAGUUAAGAUUAGGGUUAGGGCUAGGGUUAGGGUUAGAGUUAGGGUUAAGGGUUAGGGUUAGGUUUAAGAUUAUGGUAGGCUUAAAGAUAGGGUUAAGGUUAGGUUAGGGUUAGGGUCAGGGUUAGGAUUAGAAUUAGGUUUAGGGCGAGGAUUAGGGUCAGAGUUAUUGUAAGGGUUAGGUUUCGGGUUACAGGUGGGCCAAGGUUAAGGUGAGGGUUAGGUUUAGGGGUAGGGUUAGGGUUAAAGUCAGGGUGAGUUUUAGGUUAGGGAUAGGGUGAAGUUUAAGACAGGGUGAGGGUUAGGGUUAUGGCUAAGGUUUGGGCUUGUUUUCAGGUUAGUGUUAAGGUUAUGUUCAGGGUUAGGGUUAAGUUCAUGGGUUGUGUUUAGUUUUAGGGUUAGGGUUAGAUUUAAGGUUAGGGUUAAGUUUAGUGUUACGGUUAGGGUAAGGGUUAUGGUUGUGUUAGGCGUUGUGGUUGGGGUGAGGGUUAGGUUUAGGGUUAGGGUUGGGUAGGGUUUGGAUUAUGGUUAUGGUAAAGUGUUAGAGUUAGAGGUGUAGUUUAGGAUUAGGUUUUGUGUGAGGGUUCCGGUUAGACCUUGUGUUUCUGGUCAUGGUUAGGUUUGGUUUAGGGUUAGGGUUAGGUUCAUGAUUAGGUUUCGGGUUAGUGUUAGAGUUAGUGUGAGAGUUAGGGUUAAGGUUUUUGCUAGGCUUUGGUGUUAGGGUUAGGGUUUGUGUUAGGGUUAGGUUUAUCAUUAGGGCUCAGGGGUUUCAGGUUAGUGUUAGGGUUAGGGUUAGGGAUAGCAUUAGGGUUAGCGUUGUGGGAUACGGUUAGGGGUUAGGGUGAGGGUUACGGUUAGUUUUACAGUUAAGGUGAGGGUUUAGGGUAAGUGUUAUGAUUAGGGUUAGAGUUAGAGUGAGGGUUAGGUUUAGGGUUAGGGUUAAGUGUAGGGUAAGAUUUAGGUUUAGGUCCAAGUUGAGGGUUAGACUUAGUGUUCUAUUUAGGGUCAAGGUUAGAGUUAGGGUUAGGGUUAGGAUUAGGUCUAGGUUUAGGAUUAGGAUUAAGUUUAGGGUUAGGUUCAGGGCUAUUGUAAGUGUUCAGUUUAGGGUUACAGAUGGACUAGCGUUAUUCUUAGAGUUAGGUUUGAGGUUAGGGUUUGGGUUAGGUCUAGGUUUAGGGUUAAGGUUAUGGUUAGUGUUUGGAUGAAGUUCAGGAUAGGGUGAGGGUUAUUUUUCUGGUGAGGGCUAGGGUUUGGGUUUGUGUUCAGGUUAGUGUUAAGGAUAGGUUUAGGGUUCGGUUAGGGUUAGGCGUUAUGUCUAGGGUCAGCGUUAGGUUAGGUUUAGGGUUAGUGUGAAGUUUAGGUUAAGGGUGAGGGUUAUGAUAAGGGUUAGGAUUAUAGACGGUGUUAGACGUUAGGUUUAGGGUGUUAGGGUUAGGUUUAUGGUUAGGGUAGAUUUAAGUUUAGGUUUAAUAUUAGGGUUAGGGUUAGAUUUGGGUUACUGUUCGUAUUAGGGUUAGGGUUAGGGAUAAGUUUGGGGAUAGCGUCAGGUUUAGGGUUGGGGAUACGGUUAAGGAUUAGGGUGAGGGUUAGGGUUAGGUUUACAGUUAAGGCGAGGGUUUAGGGUAAUUGUUAUGGUUAGGGCUCGAGUUAGAUUUAGGCGUAGGGUUAGGGUGAUGUUUCAGUUAAUAGUCACGUUAGAGUUAAAGUUAGAGUAGGGUCAAGUUUAGUGUUCGGGUUAGGUAUGGAGUUAGGGUUCGGGUAGGGGUAAGGUUAGGGUUAAGGCUAGGUUUACGAUAAAGGGCAGGGCUAAGUUAGUGUUAGGUUUAGAGUUAGAGUUAGUGCUAGGGUUUGGGGUUAUGCUUAUGGUCAGGUUUAAAGUUAUUGUUAGGCUUUGUUAGGGGGUUAGGGUUGUGUUUGUUACGGGGUUACGAUUGUAUUUUCGGGGUUUAGAGUUGUGCUUGUUAGGGGCUUAGGGUUGUUUUCGUGAGGGGGUUAGGGUUGUUCGUUGUUUGGGGGUUAGGGUUGUUUGUUGUUUGGGGGCUAGGUUUGAUUGUUGUUAGGGGGUUAAGGUUGUUUGUUGUUAGGGGUAUAGUGUUGUUUGUUGUUAGGGGUUCAGGGUUGUUUGUUGUUAGGGGGUUAGUGUUGUUUGUUGUUAGGGUGUUAGGGUUGUUUGUUGUUAGUGGGUUAGGGUUGUUUGUUGUUAGGGAGUUAGGGAUGAUUUUUGUUAGGGGGUUAGUGUUGUUUCUGGUCGGGGGUUAAUGUUGUUUGUUAGGGCGUUAGUUUUGUUUGUUGUUAGUGGGUUAGGGAUGUUUGUUGUUAAGGGGUUAGUGUUGUUUGUUGUUAGGGGGUUAGGAUUUGUUUUUGUAAGAGGGUUAGUGUUGUGUGUUGUUAGGGGGUUAGUGUUGUUUGUGGAUGGGGGUUAGUGUUGUUGGUUGUUAUGGGGUUAGGGUUGUUUGUUGAUAGGUGGUUACUUUUGUUGUUAGGGGUUUUGGGUUGUUGGAUUUUAGGGGUUGAAGGUUGUUUGUUGUUAGAGACUUAGGGUUGUUUGUUGUUAGGGGGUUAGUGUUGUUUGUUGUUAGUGGGUUAGUGUUGUUUGUUGUUAGGGGUUCAGAGUUUUUUGUUGUUAGGGGGUUAGAGUUGUUUGUUGUUAGAGGAUUUGGGUUCUUUCUUGUUGGGGGUUAGAGUUGUUUGUUUUUAGGGGAUAAGUGUUGGUUGUUGUUAGGGGGUUAGUAUUUUUUUUUAUUUUUACUGGGUUAGUGCUGUUGGUGGUUACGGGGUUAGUGUUGUUGGUUGUAUAGGGGGUUAGGGUUGUUUGUUGUUAGGGGGUUAGGGUUGUUUCUUGUUGUACUUUAGUGGUUUUUGUUGUUAGGAUGUUAGUGUUGUUUGUGGUUAGGGGUUUACUGUUGUUGGUUGUUAGGGGGUUAGGGUUGUUUGUUGUUAGGGGUUUAGGGUAGUUUGUUUUAAGGGGUUAGUGUUGUUUGUUGUUAGGUUGUUAGGAUUGUUGUUAGGGUGUUAGUGGUGUUUGUUAGGGGGUUAGUGUUUUUUGUUGUUAGGGGGUUAGUGUUGUUUCUUGUUAGAGAGUUAGUUUUCUUUGUUGUUAGGGGAUUAGGGUUGUAUGUAGUUAGUGGGUUAGAGUUGUUUGUUGUUG